UACGUAGGUGGCAAGCGUUGUCCGGAAUUAUUGGGCGUAAAGCGCGCGUAGGCGGUCCUUUAGGUCUGCUGUGAAAGCCCACGGCUCAACCGUGGAGGGGCAUUGGAAACUGGGGGACUUGAGUACAGAAGAGAAGAGUGGAAUUCCACGUGUAGCGGUGAAAUGCGUAGAGAUGUGGAGGAACACCAGUGGCGAAGGCGACUCUUUGGUCUGUAACUGACGCUGAGGCGCGAAAGCGUGGGGAGCAAACAGG
rnacentral:rRNA from 1 species